rnacentral:rRNA from 1 species
UACAGAGGUCCCGAGCGUUGUUCGGAUUCAUUGGGCGUAAAGGGUGCGUAGGCGGCGGGGCAAGUCUGAUGUGAAAUCCCGGGGCUCAACCCCCGGAACUGCAUUGGAUACUGCCUUGCUUGAGUACUGGAGAGGGAACUGGAAUUUACGGUGUAGCAGUGAAAUGCGUAGAGAUCGUAAGGAAGGCCAGUGGCGAAGGCGAGUUCCUGGACAGUGACUGACGCUGAGGCACGAAGGCCAGGGGGAGCAAAACGGG